rnacentral:rRNA from 1 species
UACGUAGGGGGCUAGCGUUGUCCGGAAUCAUUGGGCGUAAAGCGCGCGUAGGCGGCCCGGUAAGUCCGUUGUGAAAGUCAAAGGCUCAACCUUUGAAUGCCGAUGGAUACUGCCGGGCUCGAGUCCGGAAGAGGCGAGUGGAAUUCCUGGUGUAGCGGUGAAAUGGCGCAGAUAUCAGGAGGAACACCAAUGGCGAAGGCAGCUCGCUGGGACGUGACUGACGCUGAGACGCGAAAGCGUGGGAGCAAACAGG